rnacentral:rRNA from 1 species
UCGGGAAUUUUGGGCAAUGGGGGAAACCCUGACCCAGCAACGCCGCGUGAAGGAUGAAGUAUUUCGGUAUGUAAACUUCGAAAGAAUAGGAAGAAUAAAUGACGGUACUAUUUAUAAGGUCCGGCUAACUACGUGCCAGCAGCCGCGGUAAUACGUAGGGACCAAGCGUUGUUCGGAUUUACUGGGCGUAAAGGGCGCGUAGGCGGCAUGACAAGUCACUUGUGAAAUCUCUGGGCUUAACCCAGAACGGCCAAGUGAUACUGCCGCGCUAGAGUGCAGAAGGGGCAAUCGGAAUUCUUGGUGUAGCGGUGAAAUGCGUAGAUAUCAAGAGGAACACCUGAGGUGAAGACGGGUUGCUGGGCUGACACUGACGCUGAGGCGCGAAAGCCAGGGGAGCAAACAGGAUUAGAUACCCCCGUAGUCCCUGAGCGGGCUGGCAAGGCGCAU